GGUGGACAAAUUUGGCUGCUUGCAACCACCUAAAAAAAUGCUAAAACCG
rnacentral:ncRNA from 1 species